UACACCGCUAAUGGGCCUAUGUGGACUCCAACCGAAGAUACAGGCCCACUUUCAGGGAAAAGCCCAGAAGCCCAUGAACGCUGUUCUUGUUGUUCGAGGAACCGAUCCUCCGGAACCCGUAGCGCUCCGUGACAACAUACCACUGCCACGCCCACUGUCACGGCGGAGAUAACCACCGACACUACAUUCGUCCAAAGAGCCACCGAGACGGUGGCGAAGCUUAGCCCGACUAGAGCUUCGCAGUCGGUGAACACGCGGCCGAAGAUCACGAGCUGCUGCUCCGGCUUCCGGAGAAUGUAGAGGAAGAGCCACGCGCCGGCGAUGGAACCAAGGAGGAGGAGCGUCAAGGGACGACUGAGGAGGGAAGCGGCGAGUACAACCGCCACCACGAUGACGUAGUUGACACGGAAGUAGGACGUGUUCUUGCGGAUUCUGGAGUAGGCUUCGGCGAGCGAUUUCGGCACGGAGAUGGCGCUCCGGUCGGCGAGUUCUGUCCAAGGGCGGCGCUUCGCGUGGCGGUGGAGGCGCGUA